rnacentral:lncRNA from 1 species
CACAGUUUUAAUACAUUGAGUAAACAUUUCCACGCUAGAUUAUUGUAUAUACAUUAUAAUCUAAUGAGUAAAAAAUAUAUGGUAAUUGUGUCCUCAAGAAUUAGGCUGUUGAGUCUAUUUGAUGCAAUCUAACUAAUGUGAUAAAGAUACCCCCAUCAAAAUCCGUCAGUUUAAACUAUAGAUAUCUGGAAUGUGGCAGAGCUACAGCCCUGAUUGUCAGACCAAUCGAUGGUGUUCUCCAUUUUGCUCUACGACCAACACAAGUGUCUCGGGACUCGUCUGAAGGUAAACCAUACAAAUGAAUGGAGGUAGUUGUGCCAACAAGAAUAAGGGGUUAAAAUGUGUCCAAAAAACUAAAAUAUUUCCUGAGCUUUCUUAGAUCUCCUAGACAUAGGAAAGACACUACAAAACCUUAUGAUUUAUUUUUGACUGUAUUUUUUUUGCCAUUUAUGAAUGUGCUAUUCAACGUGUUUCUAUGGGCUAUAGUAGUAAAGACCAAAUUUGAUCAAAUAAUUUGGUUGGAGGGCCCCCCCUCCAUGUAAUUCAGCCAUGAUUACUACAAGCUGGCCAGACUAAGUUACCUAGCAAUCUAUAAAAUGUUAGUUGACAUGGGCUAAUUGAGUGACUGUCAGUGACAGACACGAAAAGAAAACUGCUGAUGCACAACCACAUUUGGAAUUGCAACCAUAUGUAUUCUGCUGUUUUAACUCCCAACAGUAAGUUGAGACCCCGACUGAGUUCCUAAAGUCCCUGGGUGGGGAGCCCUCUAGGGGCCGCGGGGCCCUAAGCGCAACGUGUACUGUGUAUAGGCGGGGCCCUACGCGCAGCGCGUACUCUGGGUAUAGGCGGAGGCGGCACCGACUACAACCCCAAAAUCUCGGACAUUGUGUGCCUUUGUGCAAAGAUAGAGUCGUAGACAUCCCACUUUGGUUUCCUCAUAAAGUUCUUCCACAGUGCUUGAAUUGUUUACUUGAGUGUACCUCCAUCUGAUUUCUCUGCGAUAGUCCUCCAGUUGGGUGUUUUUCUUUGAAAGUCCAUUUGGGAAAAACAUUUCCUCUGCCAUUACUUUGAUUUCCUCAACAGAUUUCUUUUUGUCAACAUAGAGGUGUCUUGUACCGCCACCGUUUACUGUCCUGACUUGCUUGAACUCUUGCCCCUUUUCAUUGAAGUCCAUCCAGCCUAGUUCAAUUAUUCUCUGUUUCUUCUUGGCAUUGGUAUUCCCCAACAAUCCAGUUUUUAAUCGUGUGGUUUGUUUAUCCCUAACAGACCCUAAUCUGCCUUUCAAGCUCUCUGUCAUGGCAUCCAUGUAAUUCGCUUGGCUGCAAAGUGUGGACAGUCCGUCUCCAUACUCUGACAAAUCACUGUCCGCCAUGAAUGGGAUGACUGAAGUAUCAAUCUGCAAAAACAUGGAAAACAACGAUUUGUUUAUUAUAAACAACGAUUUGUUUAUUAUAAACAAUGAUUUGUUUAUUAUAAACAAGGUUUCAAUUGUAAAAUAACAUUAUUUUGGUUUUGACUGUAAAUGUUGUGCUACUAAGUGACCUUAACAUUCAUUUCACCAACACUAAAUAUGGUUACUCGGCAAACACUUACACUUUCAUUGGUUUCCACUGGUACGCCCUCCUCUUUAAUCCAGUCCUCUUCAAUCCAAU